UCCCUUGCUCCAGGUGUGAAAUGACUGGC
rnacentral:piRNA from 1 species